ACAUGCAAGUCGAACGGACUUAACCUAUUCUUUAAGAUUAGGAGCGGUUAGUGGCGGACUGGUGAGUAAUGUAUAAGUAACCUGCCUAUCAGAGGGGAACAACAGUUGGAAACGACUGCUAAUACCGCAUAUGCCAUAAGAGCCACAUGGUUCAAGUGGGAAAGGAGCAAUCCGCUGAUAGAUGGACUUAUAUCUGAUUAGCUAGUUGGUGUGGUAACGGCAUACCAAGGCGAUGAUCAGUAGCCGAACUGAGAGGUUAAUCGGCCACAUUGGGACUGAGAUACGGCCCAGACUCCUACGGGAGGCAGCAGUCGGGAAUAUUGCGCAAUGGAGGAAACUCUGACGCAGUGACGCCGCGUGCAGGAAGAAGGUUUUCGGAUUGUAAACUGCUUUAGACAGGGAAGAAAAAAGACAGUACCUGUAGAAUAAGCUCCGGCUAACUACGUGCCAGCAGCCGCGGUAAUACGUAGGGAGCAAGCGUUAUCCGGAUUUAUUGGGUGUAAAGGGUGCGUAGACGGGAAAUUAAGUUAGUUGUGAAAUCCCUCGGCUCAACUGAGGAACUGCAACUAAAACUGAUUUUCUUGAGUACUGGAGAGGAAAGUGGAAUUCCUAGUGUAGCGGUGGAAUGCGUAGAUAUUAGGAGGAACACCAGUGGCGAAGGCGACUUUCUGGACAGAAACUGACGUUGAGGCACGAAAGUGUGGGGAGCAAACAGGAUUAGAUACCCUGGUAGUCCACACCGUAAACGAUGGAUACUAGGUGUAGGGUGUGAUAAACGCUCUGUGCCGUCGCAAACGCAGUAAGUAUCCCACCUGGGGAGUACGG
rnacentral:rRNA from 1 species